AUACGUAGGUGACAAGCGUUAUCCGGAUUUACUGGGCGUAAAGGGCGUGUAGGCGGUCUUGCAAGUCAGAAGUGAAAUUCCUGAGCUCAACUCGGGCGCUGCUUCUGAAACUGCAGGACUUGAGUGCUGGAGGGGAUAGCGGAAUUCCUAGUGGAGCGGUAAAAUGCGCAGAUAUUAGGAAGAACACCGGUGGCGAAGGCGUCUACCUUGCCAAUAACGGAAUCUGAGGGGCGAAAUCGGGGUGAGCAAACAGGAUUUGAUACCCUGGUACUCCACGCCGUAAACGAUGAAUACUAGGUGUAGGGGGUAUCGACGCCCUCUGUGCCGCAGUUAACAAAAUCAGUAUUCCGCCUGGGUAGUACGGCCGCAAGGUUGAAACUCAAAUGAAUUGACGGG
rnacentral:rRNA from 1 species